rnacentral:rRNA from 1 species
AGCAGCCGCGGUAAUUCCAGCUCCAAUAGCGUAUAUUAAAGUUGCUGCAGUUAAAAAGCUCGUAGUUGAAUUUCGGGACUAAUAUGUUGGUCGUGCCUCGGUAUGUACUGAUAUUUUUGGUUUCUCCUUCUGACGAACCUUGAUGUCAUUAAUUUGGUGUCUUGGGGAAUCAGGACUGUUACUUUGAAAAAAUUAGUGUUUAAAGCAGGCUCACGCUUGAAUACAUUAGCAUGGAAUAAUGAAAUAGGACGUUUGAUUCUAUUUUGUUGGUUUCUAGGAUUGACGUAAUGAUUAAUAGGGAUAGUUGGGGGCAUUAGUAUUCAAUUGUCAGAGGUGAAAUUCUUGGAUUUAUUGAAGACUAACUACUGCGAAAGCAUUUGCCAAGGAUGUUUUUAUUAAUCAAGAACGAAAGUUAGGGGAUCGAAGACGAUCAGAUACCAUCGUAGUCUUAACCAUAAACUAUGCUGACUAGGGAUCGGAUGAUGUUAACUUUUUAAUGACUCAUUCGGCGCCUUACG